AGCUUGUGAUGAGACAUCUCC
rnacentral:miRNA from 1 species